CACCAGGUUGAUUCUGCCUGACGUGGAUGCUAGUCUCUAAAGUUAAGCCAUGGAUGUCUAAGCAAAGCGUAAGUCGAGCGGCACAGGCUCAGUAACGGGCGAAUAUUUAAUCUCCUCGAGUGGAUAUCCUCUGUAACCGGAGGGCAAAACACAGGACGUGCAGUUGUAUAAGGAUUGUUCGUUUAACAUUAGUGGGGGAGAGUAAGACGCCAGUCCAUCAGUUAGUAAGUAGGGUAAGGGCCUACUUAGACGAAUACGGAUACGGGGAAUUAUCGUUUGAUUCCGGAGAGGGAGCCUGAGAGACGGCUACCGGGUCCAAGGACAACAGCAGGCGCGAAAAUUACCGCAGCCUGCAUUCAGGUCGGUAGUAAGGAGACGUGUAAACGAUGUGCAGGUAAAGAAUGCACUGUAUACAGGAGGACAAGACUGGUGCCAGCACCCGCUGUAAUACCAGCUCCUGGAGUGUCUAUGAUGAUUGCUGCAGUUAAAGCGUUCGUAGUCGAACCGGGUUGAAUUGCGUGACAGUCAGACUCUCAAGGUGUGAUGAGCGCUGUGAUUCUGGGGAAUAAGGAGUGUUUAGGGGCCAGGGUAUUAAACGGCAAGCGGUGAAAUGUGUUGACCCGUUUAUGGAGCGACAGAGGCGAAAGGCUGGCCAGGGGCAAAUCCGAUGAUAAAGGACGUAGGCUAGAGGAUCGAAGACGAUUAGAGACCGUUGUAGUUCUAGCAGUAAACAAUGCCGAUGUUGUGGUGCCGUAACGGACGCAAAAGAGAAAUCUAGUAGGGCCCUGGGGAGAGUACACGCGCAACAGGAAAUUUAAAGGAAAUUGACGGAAGAACACCACAAGGAGUGGAGUGUGCGGCUUAAUUUGACUCAACGCGGGACACCUUACCGGGCCCACGGCCACACGAGUGUGACACACGAUAGCCGAGGAGUGGUGCAUGGCCCGUUAACGACAAGUGAGUGAUCUUUGGGUUAAGUCCGUAAAUUAGUGAGACCCCAGCAAAGGACAGGUGCGCAAAGCACAGGAAGGAUGGGUCAAGGACAGGUCAGUGAUGCCCUUAGAUGGUCCGGGCUGCACGCGCACUACAGUGGUCGCCGAAAUUUAGAUAUAGAGCUAAAGGCGAUCGAGAGGGAAUGAGCUUUGGAAGAGGCUCAGGAACGUGGAAUUGCUAGUAAUCGCGGACUCAUUAAGACGCGAUGAAUACGUCCCUGUUCUUUGUACACACCGCCCGUCGUUAUCGAAUACGGUGCUCGGCGCGAGCAAGGUGAAAUCACUGAGCGAGCGCAAGGUACCGGAUCUGAUACAAGUCGUAACAAGGUAGCUGUAGGAGAACCAUUAGCAGGAUCAUAA
rnacentral:rRNA from 1 species